UACGGAGGGUGCAAGCGUUAUCCGGAUUCACUGGGUUUAAAGGGUGCGUAGGUGGGUUGGUAAGUCAGUGGUGAAAUCUCGGAGCUUAACUCCGAAACUGCAUUCGAUACUGCCGUGCUUGAGGACUGGAGAGGAGACUGGAAUUUACGGUGUAGCGGUGAAAUGCGUAGAUAUCGUAAGGAAGACCAGUGGCGAAGGCGGGUCUCUGGGCCGUAACUGACGCUGAGGAGCGAAAGCGUGGGGAGCGAACAGG
rnacentral:rRNA from 1 species